GUGCUCCAUAUCCACGUGUGACCACAGACCCUUUCCUCUGUCCUCCCGGGCCGCCCCUGCCCCCCACCCCGUUUCCCACCAGCUCUGAGCCCUGGGCUCAUGGGAGGCAGAAGAGAGGAUGAGACGGCCGCUCCUGCAGUGGGGGAUGUGGUGGGGGGGACUCCAGGUGCCAAUGCUUCAGAGGGGCCAGAGGACCCCAGAUCUGGCUCCUCUAACCACGGGCCGUGUCGGGAGGCAUGUGUGAGCAUAGGGCUGUGGUGUGCAGAGGGGCACGUGUGUGAGCACACGGCUGUGCCUCUGUGACUGCUGGGAGUGUGUGUGGUGCGUGUGGCAUGUGUGUUCCCCCGUGGGCCUGGUGUGGCCCGGCGUGUGUACUGUGUGUGGUCAGGCGGUUGUGCCCAGGGCUUGUCCUCUAGAAGGCACGGCGUUCCUGGGGGUCGAAUGACCCUGUCAGACGCUUCGGGCGGCAGGGGCUCCGUCGGCUCCUGCAUGGCUGGGGCCCCCAGCCCGCUCUGUUCCUGGUCCAGGGCCAGCGGGUGGCUGGAAUUCCCGAACGCGCCCUGGGGGGCUGGGACGCCGUCUCACCGGCUCCACUGCAGGUCCUGGGUGCCGGUCGAGCAGUGGGCUGCUGGUGGGGUCAGGGGUCGGCCUGGAGUGUGUCCAGGGAUGCUCCCUGUGUUCUCAGGACGCCCCUUAAACCGGCCCCAGUCCUGCUUUGGAGGACAAGAAAGGCUCGGGGGGCAGUGUGACCCGUGCCCCUGGAGGAAACGCCCUUGGGUGGAAACAGCCCAGAGCCUGCCUUCCCUGCCCUCUCUUGACUCUCACUUUGGUUUUAUCAGCAGCCGCUGAGCCCCUGGGGUGGCGCUGUGUUCCCUCCGCCUGAACCCUUGGGGCUCACACGGCCCUGAGGACCCUGCUUCCCGGCCGAGUUCCGCUUGUCACUGGACCUGUUUGGGAAUGAAGGCAGCCAUUUGGCAGCAUCACCCGUUCCUUCUAACUCGAGGUUCCUGCCGUAGGGCGUGGCGGGACACGGGAGUCACGGAGCCUCCUCUCGUGGAGGAGCCAGUCCUCAGGGCAGGACCACCUGCCUGAUGGCCAGGAGAGACCACCUGGGCUCAGACCCCUCCCAGCUGUGAGAAGCUGGGCUCUCCCCACACCUCGGUGGCCUCCUCGGGGCCUGAUGAUAACCUGUAAGGGGUGAGAGGUCAGCGAGGCCCCCGCGCUUUCCGAGAGCCGGCAGGCCCUCAUGUCUCUGGAGCGGCUGCGGAGAACACGCAUGUAUGGCUGAAGUGUUGGGGCAGGGGUGGGGGGCUACGGAGGGGAAGGGGUGCCGGCCGUGGGUCCCACCCUACCCUCUGGGGGAGGCGCCAAACCCUGAACCCCGCACCCACCCCGGGCCUGGCUGGCCACCCUCCCUGGUGUUCACAAGACGUGUUUUGAAUCAAAACACCUUCUUUGCAGACAGCUUCCUGGAAGACAGGCUUGAGAGUCUGAGAUGAUGAAGAGGAACUUGCUGGGUCAGCUUCGGACGUGAAAGCAGCUUCACGUGGCUUUCAGUUUUAAGAAAUUUCAAGGCAGACCCCGACAGCGCCAGAAUCCAGGAGGCCGGCCUUGGCACCCCACCAUGCCCACUGGUUCCUCCCCAUCCCGCCUCUGCCCCCUUGGCACCUGCUUCUCUGCUGCUCGCUGAGGAUGGAUCCUCGGUCACUCCUGUCGUCCUGGGGAAGUGCAAGAGUUCAACUGAGUCCCUCCUCCCUACCCCCACCCGGAGCUGAGGCCUGGCUGUACCUGCGAGGGGAAGGGCUUUCCACCUGGAGAGGAGAUCUGUGUGCACCCAGGACCAGCGUGUGCGUGCACAUGCACACACAUACACACGCGUGCACAGCGUUCUGUAUCAUUUUAGCACCAGCAUGUGCGUGCACACACACACACGCACGCGUGCAGAGUUCUUUAUCACUCUGUCUGUGCUGAUGUCCCAAUUUCAUUUCCAGCCCUGACUACUCCUGGCCUCCAGUGCCAUCUGUGAGCCACAGGGAACAGGCUGAAGACAGAGCCAAGAUGGAUCUGACCCCGAAACUGGGAGCACGUCCAGGAGAGACGGCCGCACAGGCCUUGGGCGCUGGGGACUCAGGCAGCAGUGACAGGCAGGCAGGACGUAGAAACAGGCUGUUCUGACCCCAGCAGAUACACGAGAGGGACCCCCCUCCUGGAAUUACACACUCCCCCAGUCCUGGUCCCCAGUGCCUGGAGAGCUGCCAUGCCUUGGGGGACACGGGCGGCUCAGUGGUAACGAUGUCCUGCAAGUUCAGGUGUCUGGUUACAGCCAUUCCUGCAGGGGUCAAUUUUUUUUUUUCUUAUCUUGGUACAUAUUAAAACAAAAAGAAAAUGACCAGGGAAUGACUGAACCCGCUUCCUGGAGUGAAGAUGGUGUGCACGUGACCUCAGAGCCCAGUAGCAAACGUGGGGAGCCCCCGCUGAUCCUGAGGACGGUGUGCAAGUGACCAUGGAGCCCAGUAACAACAGGGCGCGGCCCCCGCUGACAUCUUCACCAGGGCCUAGGGCGGCCUCUGAGCACAACGGGCAGGAAGGAGUGUUCUCAGGAGCUGCUCUUCUGCCCAUCCGAGUUUCUUCUCUGGUUAUAAGUGGCCACACGGACACCAGUCAUUGACUCAUUAAGGGCCAGUACUCAGGGACGCCCAUGGAACCUGUCCAAGCAGCCCUGGCUGUGGACCAGUCUCUCUUGAGCGGUGAUGUGGACGGGAGGUCAGUGCCUCCCAGGCUGCCUGGGACUCUGGCCUCUGGCUCUCCUGUGCCGGAAUGAGCUGGAAUGAGCCAGAUUGAUGUGGAAUGAGCUGGAAUGCCUCUUGAGAUGCUCCAAGGUCGGCCUCCAGCCACCUCCUCCAGAGCCACGGCUCCUCCCACCACGAUGGGUCGUGGGCCCUCCCCGUGAGUCCGUGCUCUCCUCCCAUGCCAUCUGCCCACUCCUGGCUGGUGCCCCGUCAGCCCCCUGACUGCAGCUGUGAGCCUUGCAGAGCGCACGCGUGAUGAGUGGGAAAAUGAAUCUGAAAUCUUC